UCAAUCGACUCUGCCUCGUUCACGCAUACAACAUUGCUGGCAAUUGAUCCACAGAUCUCGCAAAUCCUGCAGACAAAACCGUUUCAGGGGAAAAAUAUAAUGCGUUUUAAGGA